rnacentral:rRNA from 1 species
UGGGGAAUAUUGCACAAUGGGCGCAAGCCUGAUGCAGCCAUGCCGCGUGUAUGAAGAAGGCCUUCGGGUUGUAAAGUACUUUCAGCGAGGAGGAAGGCGUUGUGGUUAAUAACCGCAGCGAUUGACGUUACUCGCAGAAGAAGCACCGGCUAACUCCGUGCCAGCAGCCGCGGUAAUACGGGGGGUGCAAGCGUUAAUCGGAAUUACUGGGCGUAAAGCGCACGCAGGCGGUCUGUCAAGUCGGAUGUGAAAUCCCCGGGCUCAACCUGGGAACUGCAUCCGAAACUGGCAGGCUAGAGUCUUGUAGAGGGGGGUAGAAUUCCAGGUGUAGCGGUGAAAUGCGUAGAGAUCUGGAGGAAUACCGGUGGCGAAGGCGGCCCCCUGGACAAAGACUGACGCUCAGGUGCGAAAGCGUGGGGAGCAAACA